UGAACAUCCAUCGAAUCGUGCYGUUUGGCAACGAAUCGCAUUGGGCGCCCGCUUUCUGCCCCCUGGGCGUCAGCAGUGCCUCAGAGUGUGCUGUGCGGAGUUUUCGACGACUCAACUCUUGGACCUAAACAGUCUGGGUUGGCCUGUCUGAUUGCCGUGCAUGCCUCGGGUGACCGCCUGGUGCAUCCCGAUCACAACCUCACUU
rnacentral:misc_RNA from 1 species